UACGUAGGGUGCGAGCGUUAAUCGGAAUUACUGGGCGUAAAGUGUGCGCAGGCGGCCGAGCAAGUCGAGUGUGAAAGCCCCGAGCUUAACUUGGGAACUGCGCUCGAAACUACUUGGCUUGAGUGUGGCAGAGGAAGGUGGAAUUCCACGUGUAGCGGUGAAAUGCGUAGAGAUGUGGAGGAACACCGGUGGCGAAGGCGGUUCUCUGGGAAUAUCCUGACGCUGAGGAGCGAAAGUGUGGGGAGCGAACAGG
rnacentral:rRNA from 1 species